CACAGCAUGUCUUCCCAUGGCCCUGAGGAGGGGCCUCAGCACUGUCGGGUUUUUAUCUUAAAAGAAUAAUUACUAAUUUUGUGUCUAUUUCAUGUUCAGAAACCACUUGACAUAAAACAGAUUUUUCAAAAUCUUUCUCUCACUAUUUUUUUUUUUAUUUUAGUGAAAGAAAAAUUAAAAUGAAAAAGGAAAAUGAAGAAGUUAAUGAUACCAGAUUUCAGCGAAGCAGGAUCAUAUUUUGUGAUACAACAGCUAAUAGCUGAAGAACUCUGCCAUGAAAGUCCCAAGCAGCCCAGCCUUAGCAGGUAGCAAGGAAAGAACAGAAUGUGUACAGAAGGAAUACAGCUACAACUGAUUCCUGGAAGCACAAGUAUAACUGGCUUUUAUUUUCCUUGAGGUCUCCUCAAAAUCAAAAUCUGUACUUUCUGUGAGAACCUGUUGUCAUGGGGGUUUUUCAGAAUUAUAAAUCAAUGGCAACUGUAAUGUAAUUCUUCAAGUCAAACUAUUUGGUUCAAAUUUGCAAAUGUGAAAUGAGCUUGCUUUCAUCCCUUCAAGUGCCAGAAACAGUUCAAAAUAAAUUGGGAUUUUGAUGAAUAUUUCUGUAUCCU
rnacentral:lncRNA from 1 species